CUGCAAACUCAUAGGCCUGGAUCAGCCCCCGGUGUCUAGAGAAAGCAGAGGUGGUGAUGGGUGUAUCGACACUCUGGAGCCCAGGACUAGAGAGAAGCAGGGCACAUUGGCUGUGAUGAGGCUGUGGCUGUUGAAGGAGAUGUGCCGCACGGGGUGCCUGGAACACAUGGGAGAGGAGGCUUGUCACGGUCGUGGGGGCCUGCCUCGCGCGCAUCUUUGGAUGCUCUCCCUCAUCACACCCACGGGCCCCCUGCCCCAGAACACGUCGGCACAGCGGUGCUGAGGGACAGCGGGGAGAGGCUUGGUGUCCGUCUUCCACAGGCAUGUGGGGCUGGGUGGAUGUGGGUGAGGGGAUGGCCUCAGGUCAGCUCCAGCUGAGCGCUGCUCCAAGAGAGACUGCCUCUGCUUUAAAGGUUAGGAGCAAGCUCACCAUGUUUAAGGGGUUAGGCCCCCUGAGUAGCCAUGUAUCUACAUCUGUGAAGCCAUCAGCCUGUGCCUGGGAGCCUAUCUGUCUCUUGAAUUUUUUAAAGCUAAAGGUUAAAGUUACAAAUUCCUCCUUAGUUGGGGCUGGGGCCCGGGCAGCCGGCAGUGGCCCUACAUGCUGUCUGGCCGGUCCUGCCGUGGUCUCUACCUGAACUGAUGGGGGUCAAGGCAGUUUGAACACUGUAGCGAUGACCAGCUCCAUCUGUGAGCCCCUUUCCUCAUCUGAAAAUGGAGGUGACGGCAGCUGGCUGACGGUUACAGUGAGGGUGACAUGGUAUCAUGUGGAUAGCUCCCGGUGCUGCGCCGGCUCCAAGGCCGACGCAGAUCAUUCCUGCUGCUGGGCUUACUAACAGCGCCUGAGGUGCCUCACCUGGAGUGCACCUCCCACAGCUUCUGGUUCAUCCGGUAAUCCCACACGGAGACCAGGCCUUCUUCGCCUCCACUGACGAUUUUCCAGUCGUCCAUCUGGACAGCAGAGACUCCGAGUUGGUGGGCAGAGACGGACAGGGCGAUCGUGUCAGUGCGGAGGUCAUGGAGCCUCACCCUGGAGGGCCCAAGGGGGGACACCUGCCCUGGGCGCAGGCCACGGAGAGGGAAGCUGAGCCUUGCCUAGCAUCAUGCCUCCAUGGGAGUGCCGGCCCGAGAAGCCUGGGCAGAGGAAAAAGAUUCAAAGUGAACUACCUGUGGACACUCUCUGAAAAAAAGUGAUGGAGCAAAAUAUCAGAAGGCCCGUGAGGAGCCAACACACAGGAGGGAGUGAUGUAUAAAACAAACGCAGAACAGAGCAGACAGCUCAGAAGGACCCAACGUGUCAGCCUGGUGGACAGACGCACACAGGAUAAAUCCACCUCCUAACAGGAAGAGCUUCAAAUGGGUCCCACAGCAACACUCAGUACAUGCUACAUGUGAAAGGCACAUUUGCAUGUGACAAGGACGAGGGGUGACAAUUUUAAUACCUGAAAAGGUAGAUUUCAGAGGAAAAAACAUUAGAAGAGAGUACUUCAUUAAGGAUGAGAAGGGUACAUACAGUUUACUAAAAUGUUUGGUAAAACUUGCCGGGAAAAUAUUAAAAAAAAAAAAAGCAAAAUUAUAAAUCAACUAUACUUCAGUUAAAGAACCCCACAUGGACCUAAUCUCUUUUGUAGGUAGGUUCCCCCCCCCACUUUUUAAAGUAAUUCAGUUUCUCUAUUUCUUGAGUUAAUUUUUUAAAUCUCCAAAUUUGAAGACCUAGGUGAAUAAAUGACUUUCUUGACCCCCAGGAGACAGAAAAUCCAUAUAGAGCAAGGAAUGAAGAGCAAGCUGGAAGGAACAGCCACCCCAGUGCACUGUCCACAGCACAGCGGAGGGAGGGAGGGAGGGAGGGAGGGCGGGAGAGCUUCCCAGCUCUCCCCAGGGAGCCAGCAUCUUAUCACCCAAAACCUGCCACCAGGAGCACGGCAGAAGACAACUGGAGAUCUCCAUCUGUGCAAAGACCCAAAUAGGGUACAACAGACUUCACAGCAAUGUGCUACAGACAAGUGGACUCCAUCUAGGCUCUCUUAACACGCUCAUUGCCCACUGUGGAUGGGGUGCCCCUUAGGAACCACAACUGUUACCCAGAUUUGGGUGAUGUGGCGAUCAAGGUGUUAAUAGAGCCUACCAUAUGACUAUAAAAAGCAGUUAAAACCAUAGGGUCAUUCCCAUUGAUGCUGAAAAGAAAUCUGAUGAAAUGUUACACUUAUUCCUAAUGAAAAGUCUUUAAAAAAUAGUGGUAUACUUUUACCAACAUUAUUUAACAUUGUUUUAAAAAAUUAAAUACAAUUAGAUAAAAGAAGAAAAUGAGAAGUGGACAAAUUUAUCAUUAGGGAUGACAAUCCAAGAGAAUUCAGUAAUAAUUCAGAAUCAAAUUUUAAUAUGUCAAUCAACAGCUACCUUUUGUACAACUUCUAGUUUUAUAAAUGUAAUUGAAGAUCCCACUUAGGGUAUUAAAGGCAAAAUACCCUAUUAACAGCUUUCUUAACUUGGAGCUCUACCAUAUAUACCACACCAAAAUUAACUAUAGAGGGCUCAGAGUUACACAAUUAAAAAUAUUCAGGAUAGGAAGGCCUUUCUACACAUAAAAAACCCCCAGAAGUCAAGAAAAAUACUGACAACUGCACAUAAAAGUACUUACGAUUUUUCUUCUACCACGUGGGAAAAACAAAGUCAAGGCAAAUGGUAAACUGGGAAAAAUGUCUGCACCAGAGAGGACUGGCUAAUUUCUUGUAAAAAAAAAAAAAAAAAUCAAAUUGAUAGUGAAGACUAGAUCUGAAAAGUACCUAGAAUGGAGCACAAACAUGAACAAUGUGAAUGAA